rnacentral:rRNA from 1 species
GAUGAACGCUGGCGGCGUGCCUAAUACAUGCAAGUCGAGCGAACAGACGAGGAGCUUGCUCCUUCGACGUUAGCGGCGGACGGGUGAGUAACACGUAGGUAACCUACCUAUAAGACUGGGAUAACUUCGGGAAACCGGAGCUAAUACCGGAUAAUAUUUCUAACCGCAUGGUUCGAUAGUGAAAGAUGGCUUUGCUAUCACUUAUAGAUGGACCUGCGCCGUAUUAGCUAGUUGGUAAGGUAACGGCUUACCAAGGCAACGAUACGUAGCCGACCUGAGAGGGUGAUCGGCCACACUGGAACUGAGACACGGUCCAGACUCCUACGGGAGGCAGCAGUAGGGAAUCUUCCGCAAUGGGCGAAAGCCUGACGGAGCAACGCCGCGUGAGUGAUGAAGGUCUUCGGAUCGUAAAACUCUGUUAUUAGGGAAGAACAAACGUGUAAGUAACUGUGCACGUCUUGACGGUACCUAAUCAGAAAGCCACGGCUAACUACGUG